rnacentral:misc_RNA from 1 species
GUUUGUCUUGCUUCAAAGUAAAUCUCUUUACUUCUAAAUAAUUUGCUUAUUUUUGCUUUCUUUCGAGUCUUCCAAUGAUGGUAUGCUUCGCUUCUUCCUGAGGAUAACUAUUAGCGUGAUGUCAAACAUCGCUGAUAAUAGAAGUUCAGUGCUUAAAUGAACUGCUGAGGCAGACUGAGAACUCGGUUCACGAAUUGCAAGAGGAACUCAAAAUGAAAGAUCUGCUAAACUUGGAAAGUACACCAACUGCAUCUUCCACAAAACAGGAAUCAAAAAAUCUACAAAAUUUGACAGCAAAGAGCUAGGCAAUGAGAGCGCAAAGAGCUCUGAUGCAAUAAGUAUAAUUGACGCAAAGCUUGAGGCUGAACUAGAGAGGUUGGAACUAAACAUGAAAGAAUCUAGCUUGGUGAGGAUUUAUGAAUUCUUUCAGAUAACUUUAUUAGAUCUGAUGGCACACUGCAACCGAGUUUAAAAGAAGCUCUGAUCAUAAGACGUAUUUUAUCUGUCCAAGACAAUAAUGACAUUAACUAGAUUGAUCUGUUCUUAUUAUUGCUCACAGCAGGAUUCUAACUUUCAAGAUUUUGGUGUAGAAAAGGUCAAUGAGCAACCUUACUAUUUAUCUGAAUCAGACAACGAUUCAAAUGGAGCCUCUCUGCUCACACUCAAACAGGAAUCUGUGCUGUUUCACCUCGGCAGCAGAGCUUGCGGCUUCACAAGGUAAUUAAAUCAAGGCUCAAAGCACGCAUUGUAGAACUAGAGGCAGCAGUUGAAAGUACCCAGAAGAGGCUGCAUGCCAUUGCCUUGAAAUCCAAUAGCCUGAUCCCUCAAAGGGACUUGUAUAGGAAAGAGAAAUCUCCAUCUACAGAAGUUUGCAUGAAUUUCACAGAUCAAGGUAAUGACAUGGAUGAAGCUUCAUACAGUAGAGCGAAGUUUAUUGGGAAAGUACUAAGAGUGUGGAAAUGGGGAGAGUAAUAAGAGCGUGGAAACAGAUGAACAAACUACUCCACUAGACAUUGAACAUGACAUUCAUAAAUGAGAAACAAAUGCAUUCUAUGGAAAAGCAGACAAUUAAGUGGGAAGAGUCAGCUCGAGAAUCUUUAUUCUUUUUCAAGAAUUUGAUGCCUUAGAAGAUCAGGGCUUGGAAAGAACAAGUUAAAUAUAAACGCUACACAGCACAUCAUUUUUUAUAGCAGGCCAUACAAAUAAUGGAAGUUCCUACUUCUCAUGCCUUCCACAAUUACAAUAAUGCUUUCCAUCAUUAUGGCAUUGAUAGUCCCAACUAUGAUCAUCAUCAUCUUCUAAAGCCGCAACUAAAAUUAGCAGCAGAUAUUGCAUGCAAUUUCU